AGUGCCAUUAAAGGGAAAUUGCAAGAAUUGAGAUCUUAUAUUGAUAAAAACUUCCUAAUUGCAUUGUGGUAAUGGUAUCAAACAAGAAAAGACAGAACCAAAUGACAGAAGAUCUGUCCCUAUUUCUAGGAAAUAAUAUAAUUUGAUUCAUCGUAUGGCUUCAUGGUAAACUACUCCCUGUUACAACAAAACCCUCUAGUCUAAAUUCUUCUGAUACCAACAUCUUUAAUAGUAACAUGCCUUCAAGCAAGAUCUCCCCAAGUUUCAGUUGGGGAGAUGGAAGAAGGAAUGAAGCUGCAGUGCUGCUCCUUGUCAUUUCUAGCACUAAACCUUAAAAAAAAAAAAAGAUUCCAGAGUCUUUUAAGUUCACAAAAGUAGAAAACCACUAAUGUAAGACAUAUUGUAAGGCUGGAACUACAAUUUGACUAGUGUCAACAGUGAAACCAUGCAGGAAGCCAGCAUCUUCGGAAGAUGUGAUUGAUGAUAAGCCAGAACCAGAUAAUCUCAUUGAAGAAGACCUCAAUUUUGUGCUGAGGAAUCACUUAUCUCAAAAAAAAAAAAAAAUCUAUAGCGACAUGUACAUAUGGGCCUUCUCACCCCUCUGUUGAAAUUUACUCAGUAUCUUCAAGUUAAAAUGCAGAUAGAGGUCCAUUGAAACAGGUAGUAAUUUCAACAACAGCAAAACAAUAUUCACGCUGCCAAGAGAGUUGAUAAAUAGAACAAAUACAUGAAAAGGAGAUGUUAGCCAGAAUUGCUUAACAGCUUAGAAAAGACUUAUAGUCCUUUCUUCAGAAACAGCUCAGAAAAAAAUGAGUGUUAAGGAAUAAAACUUCUUAAAAAGUUACUUCUGGUAAGUUCAGUUGUUAAAGUAAAAAAAAAUCAAUUAUAGAAUAAAAGGAGAAAGGUGUUGAUCAUGGCUCCUGAACAAGAAGCAUCUCCAACAGUGUGUGAGCGCUAGCAAAGCCUGAAGAGACCUUACUUUCCGUCUUCUAAACAAGCUACCAACAAUAUACUUUGAAUGGCUAUGUCUGAAGAAUAACAAUCUAGAAGCAAAAAUAACUGUUAGUCUGUUUGCAUUGCUAUAAAGUAGUACCUGAUACUGCAUUAAAAAAAAAAAGAAAGAAAAAAGAAAAAAAGGAUCCUAUUUUGACUUAUAUUUCUGCAGGCUGUACAGGAUGCAUAGUGCCAGCAUCUGCUUCUGGUGAGGGCCUCAAGAAGCGUAUAAUCAUAAUAGAAGGAGAAGGGGAAGCGGGCAUAUCACUUAGCAAGUGAGGGGCAGGGGAAACCCCAGCCUCUUUAAACAACCAGCUCUCACCUGAACUCAUUACUGCAAGUAAGGCACAAAACAAAAAACAGAUAAGUUUUUGGAGUAUUGCAAGUACUGGCCUACUUGUAGAUAUGGGGAUGAGUGUACUUACCAUCAUCUUGUUUCACCUUGGAAAGCCUUCCCUAAUUGUACAUUUCCUGAAAAAUGUUUGUUUGUUCACCAAAAUUGUAAAUACAUUGCAAACUGUACUAAACCAGAUUGUCCCUUUACUCACAUGGGGAGAAUUACAGUACUGCCUCCAAACCCAGUAGCUAUAAUGCCAGCACCACCUUCUAGUAGUCAGCUGUAUCACUACUUCCUGGCUUCUAAGGAAACUGAAUGUCACUUGUAUCAUCCAAAACACUGUCGAUUUAACAUUCAGUGUACAAAGCCAGGCUGUGCAUUCUAUCACCCCAUUGUUACUGUACUGCCACUACAUACCUUGGAAUGAAUUCUACCUCAAACCAGCAAAUG
rnacentral:lncRNA from 1 species